rnacentral:rRNA from 1 species
CCUACGGGGUGCAGCAGUGGGGAAUAUUGGACAAUGGGCGAAAGCCUGAUCCAGCCAUGCCGCGUGUGUGAAGAAGGCCUUCGGGUUGUAAAGCACUUUCAGUGGGGAAGAAAGCCUUGGGGCUAAUACCCUCGAGGAAGGACAUCACCCACAGAAGAAGCACCGGCUAACUCCGUGCCAGCAGCCGCGGUAAUACGGAGGGUGCGAGCGUUAAUUGGAAUUACUGGGCGUAAAGCGCGCGUAGGCGGUCUGAUAAGCCGGUUGUGAAAGCCCCGGGCUCAACCUGGGAACGGCAUCCGGAACUGUCAGGCUAGAGUGCAGGAGAGGAAGGUAGAAUUCCCGGUGUAGCGGUGAAAUGCGUAGAGAUCGGGAGGAAUACCAGUGGCGAAGGCGGCCUUCUGGACUGACACUGACGCUGAGGUGCGAAAGCGUGGGUAGCAAACAGGAUUAGAUACCCUUGUAGUC